AGGACGAACGCUGGCGGCGUGCUUAACACAUGCAAGUCACGGGGGCCCGUAGCAAUACGGGCAACCGGCGAACGGGUGCGUAACACGUGAGCAAUCUGCCGAUCUCUGGGGGAUAGCCAGCCUAACGGCUGGGUAAUACCGCAUACGCUCGUUGGGGGGAGUCCCCUGAUGAGGAAACCUCUGGGGGAGAUCGAGGAGCUCGCGACCUAUCAGCUAGUUGGCGGGGUAACGGCCCACCAAGGCAGCGACGGGUAGCCGGUCUGAGAGGAUGGCCAGCCACAUUGGGACUGCGACACGGCCCAGACUCCUACGGGAGGCAGCAGUGGGGAAUAUUGCGCAAUGGACGAAAGUCUGACGCAGCGACGCCGCGUGUGGGAUGAAGCCUUUCGGGGUGUAAACCACUGUUGCCCGGGACGAAACUCCUCUUUCGAGAGGAUUGGACGGUACCGGGUGAGGAAGCACCGGCUAACUCUGUGCCAGCAGCCGC
rnacentral:rRNA from 1 species